rnacentral:rRNA from 1 species
CGAUUACGGCUCAGUAACACGUAGAUAAUCUACCCUUGAGUCAAGGAUAAGCACGGGAAACUGUGUCUAACACUUGAUAGGGGAUUUUUCCUGGAAAGGGAUAUCCCUGAAACUCGUGCUCAAGGAUGAGUCUGCGGCUGAUUAGCUUGUUGGUGGGGUAACUGCCUACCAAGGCGAUGAUCAGUACGGGCUCAUAGCGGAGUUGCCCGGAGAAGGAAUCUGAGACACUAUUCCUAGCUCUACGGAGUGCAGCAGUCGCGGAACUUUUACAAUGCACGCAAGUGUGAUAAAGCGAACCAAAGUGCUUUUCGUUUAGAAAAGCUUUUUCUCGAUGUAAAAAUUCGGGAGAAUAAGGACUGGGAAAGACUGGUGCCAGCCGCCGCGGUAAUACCAGCAAUUCAAGUUGCAUCCCUUUUUAUUGGGUCUAAAACAUCCGUAGCUUGCCGUUUAAGUCUCUUGUGAAAUCCCACGUCUCAAGCGUGGGGACGUGCAGGAGAUACUGAGCGGCUCGAGAUCGGUAGACGUAAGAAGUACGCCACGGGGUUCGGUCAAAAUGUGUUAAUCCGUGGGUGGACU